CGGGAUGUGGUCGUCGCCGCUGUAGACAGCCGUGCCGACGGAGGCCGCGGGUGCGGCCUCAACCAUCCGCAUCCAGGGGGAAAAGGGAGGAGGAGAGUGGACGAGCGGCCGCCGCUUAGACCUUCCUCCGUCCGGAAUCGAGUCCGCUGAUCCGCGGCCGAACUCAUUUAAGAGGUAAGAACAUCACAAAUUGAAGAAAUCACAUAGAUGCUUACAGUUAUUGGUAUGGAUUUUCGAUCGAGUGAUCCUGGAUGUCAACGCCCAUAUCCUUUUCUGUGCGUCUUUGUGUAAUUGAAAAUUGUGCCCAAUUUCAAGUUCUGAUGUUCCUGCUUGGAGUAUGAUCAAUCCGCUCAAUUGAUUGAUUUUCUGUCCUUUGGCAGAGUGUGUUCGAGGCUUCCAAUUGUUGAAUCGAUGGAUGCUGGCGCUGGGUUCUUCCAUCGGUUCUUCUUUCCGCAUAGCCAAAUCGCUCGUUUUGGAGAGCAGCAAGUGCUGAUAACGUGUAAAGAGGAAAAAGAGAGAGAGGAACGAAUGGAUUGAAUACAUAGUGGUAACUGGCAGUUGCUAAACUAAA
rnacentral:lncRNA from 1 species